rnacentral:tRNA from 1 species
UGGGAAGUCGUCUAACGGUAGGACAUAUGACUCUGGAUCAUAGAAUUGGGGUUCGAAUCCCUGCUUCCCAGCCA